UACGUAGGGUGCAAGCGUUGUCCGGAAUCAUUGGGCGUAAAGCGCGUGUAGGCGGUCCGGUAAGUCCGCUGUGAAAGUCGGGGGCUCAACCCUCGGAUGCCGGUGGAUACUGUCGGGCUCGAGUACGGAAGAGGCGAGUGGAAUUCCUGGUGUAGCGGUGAAAUGCGCAGAUAUCAGGAGGAACACCAAUUGCGAAGGCAGCUCGCUGGGACGUUACUGACGCUGAGACGCGAAAGCGUGGGGAGCAAACAGG
rnacentral:rRNA from 1 species